AGUACCACCAAAUGCACUGGCUCCUCGCGGUCAGGGGACAAUUCUAGGCUGGAUGCAGAUGCUUCCUUAGGAACAGACAACUGGGAGGCAGAACAGACCCGAACAACUGUAACAUUUUCAUAGAUGGGAUUGACUUCCACACAGAGAAGAAAGAGCAGAGGAGCUGAGAACAUAGAACCUUCACAAAGAAAAACCGUUCACCAUCAGAUAAAAUCUUCUCCCCAUUUCGGUUUCCUCCAUCGGCAGAGGUGUUCCAUUGAUAACCCCCAAACUGUUGGAUGCUGCAAUGACACGAAGUAAGAUUAAUACGACAACAAAGAAGGACACUGAGAUCUGGACUUCCUUUUACCUUUCCCCCACCCCCGCCCGUGCUUCCCUUCCUUCCAAACCCCCUGAACUCUCCCCGGCGCGCUGGCUUAGAGCAGAGACUCUCCGGCACCGAGAGCCCCGAUCCCAGGCUGUGGAUGAGCAGCCAACUCGAUUCAGGGACAACUCAAAACUAGGGCCAUGUCUCCGUCACGUCUGGGAUUGUUACGGUUACUGAGCCAGUGCAAAUAUCCAGGCUCACUAGAUCUUGACGGAGUCGAGAAAGAGAUGGCCGGAAAGAGCUGAAAUGAACUUGCACGGCCCGUUAUGAAAAACACAAAGAAUAAAACUCACAGCUUUGCCGCGGGAAGAGUGGCUCAGCGCCCCAUAAACAGCUGCACCAGGAUCAGACACCCACACCUGGGGACAAGGAAACAAAGACGAAUCUCUCCCCUGAGAGGGAUCGGGAUUUGCAGGACACGUGUGAUCCACAGAUGGAAGAGAAGGUUCAGUCGUCAGCGGGACGUGAACGCUAAGGCAGCGACUUUGCAGAAGGGACCUGAGAAUGUGUAAACCAACGUUUGGGAACUGAGGAGCUCGAUGCAUGCCUGAGAUCAGAAAGCAGAGCCUCCAGAUUCUGAAGGAGUCGAGUCCCGGACCCAGGGGGACAGAUGUCACACGUGCUCUUCCUGCUACAGAUUUUCUAACUGUUCUGUUUGCCAGGCUUGCCUUUAAAGAGCUCAAAUUUGUACCGAGCAGCUGGGGAUUCAGACUCUGUUACUCAGCCAGUGGACAAACUUCUUUUCAAACCCACACACAGAAGAUACAAGGUCUGGACACACGCAUCCCACAGACUGGGAAUGAUGGACACACAGGUCCUGGGACAGCGACACCAGGACUGUCCUCCCCGGGUCCCAUCGCCAGACCCCCAUCCUCUGUGCAGCCCCCCAGGCCCCCUGCCGUGCGGAAUCCUGCACAUCAAGGACAGAUAUGAAAAAAAUCCCCACCGCCCGCCGCGGUGCUCAGUCCGGCUAGGGCGCUGAGGCAUAACCGAGUGAAAGAGAAACCAACAGAAUGCAAGAAAGUCACAGACGCCGACUGAGAUGUGCGCAUAGUAAGAAAUUCCGAGGCAAAGUUGUGGCUUCUGGUUGGAAUGAGAGGGAAGAUGGUUAAGGAAGGCCUAGGGCUUCCGAGAGAACUUGCAGGGCCAUGGGCAGAUGCCUGACAUCAUCCUUUUCUGCAGAUUCGAAAGGCACUCCAUGUCCUGGCCGCACCCCAGUGCCCGACAGAAAUAGAAUGAGAAGUGAAAUCCAGCUGGCAGGAUCUCAGGCUUGGAACAGAAGCAGCACAAAAAGGAUUUCCAGCUAUGUGGUCAGAACCAUACCACGAAGGAUGGCUACCGGAAACCUGCCCCAGGAUUGCUCGGUCAUUUAAAAACAAACCAUCAGCCACAGAGUCUAGAUGGGCCGUUUCCACCUGCGUACCCUGCAGAGACCCAUGAUGCUCCUCACAGCCCAUCACACACUCCUGGGUCACUGCCUGUUUACUGGACGCACUCCAAAGCUUGUCAUUAUGUCUCCAGCAUCUUGCCCAGUGCUUGGCAAAUAUUUGUCCCAAACAAUUUUUUCUGAAUUAAAAAAAGCAAGACUAGAUUUUUGUUGGGAUUUAUCAGACUCGGAGAUGCCAUCCACUGAGGAAAUAUGUUCGCGCAAGCCCCAGAGAGCCCCUCCCCAAUGACAAGUCUCUGCUGGAAGUCUUCCCA